rnacentral:lncRNA from 1 species
GUAGGGGUGAGCAGCGGUCUAGGGUUGACCCUGGACCGACCCUGGACCGGCCCAACCCUGCCGGUCCUGGUCCGGUUCCCAAGGGGAUUGGGUCGGUCCUUGGUCCUAAAAUUCCAGGACCGACACUGUGCGGGUUGGUCCUCGGUCCUGAGAGUUUUGGGUCGGUCCAACCCUGGACCAACCCUGUAUAUUAUAUCAUAUUAUUUAUAAUUCUUUUAUAUAUUCAAACCUAAAUAAAAUUUAUAUUAUAUUAUAUUAUAUUAUUUAUAAUUCUUCUAUAUAUUCAAACCUAAGUAAAAUGAUGUUAAAGCUAUUGACUCCUCAAGCUCACAGUCAUGGACAGACGGCAUCCAAUUCCAAAAGGCGUGAAGUUUACGCCGUAGAGGUCUUCACGGCCUCCUCCUCCACAGUCUAGAGUACGUUCUUCACCGUGAGGACUAAGGACUCCUCACAAUCACGGACUUGCGAUGUCCAAAACGGCGUGAAGUUUACGCCGUAAAUCUCCUCAUGGCUUCCUUCCCCAAAGUACGUUCUCUUCCGUUUUGUCUUCUUUGUUCUUCAAUUUGCCAAAAUCAAAAGUAGCAACAUCCCGCUCGCCGCAUUGUGGACUCUAUCUUGUCCCAUAUCUCGAUGAGCAGUUAGCAGGUACGAAAUUUUUAUUAUUGUGUCAUCUUAAAUUUGUUGAAUAUGUAUUGGUAUUUAUAGUUUAGUUACACAAUGCCGCAUUGUGGAUGGAUGUGUAAUUUGAAUUUGUAGGUUUACUUUUUUAGGGAGUAUAAAAAAUAAGACGAAAAAAAUUAUCAAUCGGUCCCGGGUUGACCCUGGAACCGGACCGAACCCAUUGGGUCGGUCCGGUCCUUGGUCCUAGGCUCAAUAGGGUCGGUCCUCGGUCCUAAAAAUUGAGGACCAACAUUGUACGGGUUGGUCCUAGGGUUAGGGGGUGGCCCGGACCAACCCGGACCAUGCUCACCCCUAG